rnacentral:rRNA from 1 species
UACGGGGGGGGCAAGCGUUGUUCGGAAUUACUGGGCGUAAAGGGCUCGUAGGCGGCCAACUAAGUCAGACGUGAAAUCCCUCGGCUUAACCGGGGAACUGCAUCUGAUACUGGAUGGCUUGAGUUUGGGAGAGGGAUGCGGAAUUCCAGGUGUAGCGAUGAAAUGCGUAGAUAUCUGGAGGAACACCGGUGGCGAAGGCGGCAUCCUGGACCAACACUGACGCUGAGGAGCGAAAGCCAGGGGAGCAAACGGG